rnacentral:rRNA from 1 species
GUACACGCUGUGACUAGCAUAUCAAUAAGCGGAGGAAAAGAAACUAACAAGGAUUCCCCUAGUAACGGCGAGUGAAGCGGGAAGAGCUCAAAUUUGAAAUCUUAAAGGGUUUCCCUUUACGAAUUGUAGUUUAAAGAAGUGUUUUCCGUUGAGGUUUUGGUAAAAGUUCUUUGGAAUAGGACAUCAUAGAGGGUGAGAAUCCCGUAUUUGACCUUUACUUUCAACUUUGUGAUACACUUUCAAAGAGUCGGAUUGUUUGGGAAUGCAGUCCAAAAUGGGUGGUAAAUUUCAUCUAAAGCUAAAUAUUGGCGAGAGACCGAUAGCGAACUAGUACCGUGAGGGAAAGAUGAAAAGAACUUUGAAAAGAGAGUUAAACAGUACGUGAAAUUGUCAAAAGGGAAGCGUUUGACACCAGUGUUGUUUUUCUGAAAAUCAAUUAAAGAACUGUUUAUGCUAAGUUGUUUAGACUUUAUCAGCUAACUGUUUAGUUUUGAGCUUUUCUUUAAUGCACUUUUCAGUUAACAAGUCAACAUCAAUUUCUUUUGCUGUAAAAAAGCUUGAGGAAGGUGGCUUGAGAUUCGUCUUAAGUGUUUAUAGCCUCUUGCCUAUGCAGUCGGAGAGAUUGAGGUCUGCAGCGUAGAUCCUUCGGGGCUAAAUGCAUUUGUGCUAAGUUAUAGCAUUUUAUAGACAACUUGUUGACUAUGAUUUGUCUUGUAGCUUACUCGCUUAUGUUAUUUUACCUACGCUUAGGAUGUUGAAGAUGUAGCACAUCAU